AUCCAUUACGUUUUAAUGAAGGGACAUCCCAAAAUAUACAUCCAGGCCAACAAUUAAGUUUCUACAUCAAUUUUAGAUUUCCAUAUUCACUGAUCAAUCCGAACUCCUUACACCCACUUUCUCUCAAGUCAAAAAAAACACACAACAAAAAUGAUAAAAACAUUGUUAUCCUGAAUAUUUUAUCCUCCGAAUCGUAAGGGUUAAUUUUUCUAUAUUGCGAUGAAAUUGUUAAGUUAUAUGAUUGCGGCUUCCUCCAAAACCUAUUCUACGAUCACUCCUCUUCUGGACAGAGAUCACUUUGCCCAUAACUAUUUCCUACCUAGGGAGCACGCAAUUAUAAUACCUUCAUUUGGCGGGGUUGCCCUUCUUAGCUUAUUGUUGGUUUUCGUUGGGUUUGCAAUGCUGAAAGCAAAACAAAAAGCUUCAUGACGUAUGCUUGGAUUUUUGUAACAGCCAUUUUUAUUUAUAAAUUGUCACUCUCAAAUUUUCUUGCUGUAGAACUUUGAAAUAAAUAUUGAGCUAUUACAUAUUUAUAAUAAAUAAUAUUGGCUUUUA